AUUCACGGAGAGUUUGAUCCUGGCUCAGGACGAACGCUGGCGGCGUGCUUAACACAUGCAAGUCGAACGAUGAAGCCCUUCGGGGUGGAUUAGUGGCGAACGGGUAACGACGUGGGCAAUCUGCCCUUCACUCUGGGCAAGCCACACGAGACCUAUACCGGAUACCUGCCCGGGCAUCCAGGUUAAAAACUCGGCGGUGAAAGGAUGAGCCGCGGCCUAUCCGCUUGUUGGUGGUAGUGGCUCACCGACGGCGACGACGUACCAACCUGGGAGGGCGACCGUACCACUGGGACUGAGACACGGCUCCAGACUCCCCACGGGGAGGAGCGGUGAGGAAUAUUGCACAAUGGGCGAAAGCCUGAUGCAGCGACGCCGCGUGAGGAUGACGGCCUUCGGGUUAAUUAAACCUCUUUCAGCGGGAAAGAAGCAAAGUGACCCGGUACCUGCAGAAAAGCUCCAGUGCUAACUCAGCAGCCCUGAUUUGUGGGCGCAAACGUUGGAAUCCCUUAUUGGGCGUAAAAAGAAGCUCUGCGUAGGCUUGUCACGUCGGGGUGUGAAAGCCCGGAGACCCGUGGUCUGCAUUCCGACCAGGCUAGCUAGCAGUGUGGUGGGGAGAUCGGAAUUCCCUGUUAUAGCGGUGAAAUGCGUCGGGAGGAAACACCGGUGGCGGAUCUACUGGGUAUUACUGACGCUGAGGGCAGCGUGGGGGACAAUGGGAUUAGGAUACCCUGGUCCGCUCGUAAACGGUUGGAACGUGUUGGCGACAUUCCACGUCGUCGGUGCACCGCAACUAACGCAUUAAGUUCCCCCGCCGCCGGAGUACGGCCCUGGAGGCUAAAACUCAAAGGAAUUGACGGGGGUGCCAAGCAGCGGGCAUGUGGCUAAUUCGACGCAACCGCGGGAACCUUACCAAAGGCUGACAUCCCGGAAAACGAUCAGAGAUUGGUCCAAUUGGUCGGUGCAUGAGGUGGUGCGUCCCGUCAGCUCUGUUUCGUGAGUCAUGUUGGGUUCAAGUCCCGCAACGAGCGCAACCCUUGUUCUGUAUGUUGCCAGCAUGCCCUUCAGGGUAGAGUUUCUGGGGACUGCCGAGGCUAGAUCCAACUCGGAGGAAGGUGGGGAACGACGCAUCAAGUCAUCCCCCUUAUACGGGCUGUCACGUGCUACAAUGGCAGGCUGUGAGCUUGGACAAUGAAAGCCGUGAGGGCGAACGAAUCUCAAAGCUGUCUCAGUUCGGAUUGAGUCUAUCUCGACCCCAUGAAGUCUGGGUUGCUAAUGUCAUCGCAGAUCAGCAUUCUGCGGUGAAACGUUCCCGGGCCUUGUACCACACCGCCCGUCGUCAAAAGUGAACACCAAGCCACCGGUGGCCCAACCCCUUGUGGAGGGAACGUCGAAAGGUGGGACUGGCCAGUUAGGACGAAAGUCAAUGGUGGCCAUUACCGGAAGUUGGCGCGGGGAUCUUCCUUUCUA
rnacentral:rRNA from 1 species